AAGUCGUAACAAGGUUUCCGUAGGUGAACCUGCGGAAGGAUCAUUAACACGUAUCCAAAAACACGUUUUUUUUUUUAAAACUCCAAACAUCUGUGAACAGCCAAUUGUACAAAACAUUGGUUCCCUCUUCCCUAUUACAUCAAUCACCCCCUUUUUUUACAUUUCACUUGAACUGAAAAAAAAACACAAAAACACAACAACCCUUUCUCUUUUUGUAAUACAAGAGAGAAAAGUAUGUUAUGAAAAAAUGCUGAACAACUCUUAACAACGGAUAUCUUGGUUCUC
rnacentral:misc_RNA from 1 species